rnacentral:rRNA from 1 species
GGAGCCGCAUGACUCUGUUAUCAAAGGAGCAAUCCGCUGGAAGAUGGGCUCGCGUCCGAUUAGAUAGUUGGUGGGGUAACGGCCUACCAAGUCGACGAUCGGUAGCCGGACUGAGAGGUUGAACGGCCACAUUGGGACUGAGACACGGCCCAGACUCCUACGGGAGGCAGCAGUGGGGAAUAUUGCACAAUGGGCGAAAGCCUGAUGCAGCAACGCCGCGUGAGGGAAGACGGUUUUCGGAUUGUAAACCUCUGUCCUUGGUGAAGAUCAUGACGGUAGCCGAGGAGGAAGCCACGGCUAACUACGUGCCAGCAGCCGCGGUAAUACGUAGGUGGCAAGCGUUGUCCGGAAUUACUGGGUGUAAAGGGAGCGCAGGCGGGGAAGCAAGUCAGUGGUGAAAUGCAUGGGCUUAACCCAUGAACUGCCAUUGAAACUGUUUUUCUUGAGUGGAUCAGAGGCAAGCGGAAUUCCGAGUGUAGCGGUGAAAUGCGUAGAUAUUCGGAGGAACACCAGUGGCGAAGGCGGCUUGCUGGGGUCUAACUGACGCUGAGGCUCGAAAGUGUGGGGAGCAAACAGGAUU